rfam:Oryza nivara chromosome 7, whole genome shotgun sequence.
AAAAAGACAAACCCUGGGUUUCCGUGUCCAAGUUUUGACUCUCCGUCUUAUAUGAAAAUUUUUUAUAAUUAGUAUUUUCAUUGUUGUUAGAUGAUAAAACAUGAUUAAUACUUUGUGUGACUUGUCUUUUUUUAUUUUUUUCAUAAUUUUUUUAAAUAAGACGGACGGUCAAACGUUGGACACGGAAACCCAAGGUUUGUCUUUUU